CAGCUGAUGUCACAUGUCAUGUAUCAGAAGUGCCACGUGGAGGAAAGGACAAGAAAACCACCAGCCCUAUUAAAUGCUGCUUGGUUUAUCCCAGCACAAGCCAGAGCAGGAGGAACACACCGGCUUCCAGUAAACUGCAACAAAGUUCUGCUAAGUCAUGCCUCUCCCCUCCUACAGCAAGCCCAGUAGAGUGUGAGAGCAUUUCUCUGGCAGAAGCCUGGCCCCCGCCUCCCCCGCUGCAGUAACGUAGAACGCCUAGCUGGAGAAAUCAAGUGCAUCCUGUGUGACCCCAUUGGGAGAAGACUCUGGAAGCUUAUGCCUGGUUUCCUCUGGACUUUGCCCCUUGAGCUUUUCAUCUUUGCUGAUUCUACUUUGUGUCCUUUUGUUAUAAUAAAUCGUAGACAUGAGCGUGACUGUAUAUUGACUCCUGCAAGUCCUUCGAGCAAAUUGUCAGGUCUGGGAUGGUCUUGGGAACCCCUGACAGGGAAGUGAAUGUGACUGAGUUUAGGGCACUACUCCAGAAUGUAUUCGAAAGCUCUGAUUUCCCCCCCCCUUUUUUUUUCCUCUAAAUGUAUAUGACCUGUGAUUUGGGAUAAAAGAUUGUGUAACUGUAUCCACAAACACACAUACAGUAAAAUAUAGUUUGUGUGU